GAAGUAUUUGGGGAUGAAAAAAAUUUCAGAUCUGCGAAUUUCUUGGUUGUGUGAUAUUAUAGACAUGAAAAAUAGACAACUAACAAGGAGAUAUCCUUAAAUGAGGGCACAGAAGCAUUUGCAUCAGUGAAAAAAUGAAAAAUGCCUUUGCUUUCCCUCCUGUUCCCCACACUACGUGCACACACACGUACUCCUAACUCACACACACACACAUCUAAUUCUUUCUCACACACACCCCCAUGCACGCAGACAGGCGCCCCCUCCCCUCAAUUCCUCACCCCAGGACUCGGAUGAUCAAUGCCCAGGCUCAGCCUUGCUCCUGCUGAAGUCACAUUCCCUGCUGCUUUUAGCUGUAUCGAUCCGAUGCCUGACCUGUGAAAUCCUUGAUGGCUGCUAACACUAGAAGCUUACUGGAGCUUUCCAAGGGAGCUUCGGGACAGCUUGUGUAGUCAGAGUGUAGAGUCUACGUUUUUAACCUCUGAGACAUGCCUGGAAGUAGAACUAAGUGUGAUUCUUCAUGUAAAGACCACAAGGAAGAGAAAAAAUUGGAUUUCCCAAACUUGAUAGAGGUUUCUCAACUCUGAGCUGUUUGGAUAUAAUUUGCUUGAAGCUGUCAUGGCCACACAUCACUCUGUCCUUGGGGAAUGUAACAGAUAUGCGUCAUCCAACUACAUCUGAUGAGAAGUUCAGAAAAGGAAGUUGGUGAAGCUAUCAUUGACUUCUAAGUCAAGGUCCAAGCUGUCAGAAAACAAGUGGGAAAAUUGUAUCCACAGACAAAUCCAUGGAGGACUUUUAGGUUCCAGCGGACAUGGCCUGGUUCCCACUCAGAAGUCUUGGGUCUGGGUCUCAAUUAACUAGGCAGUAUUUGAAAGUCACUGUAUUUUUUUGAUUUUCAGUUUCCUCAUCUGUAGAAUGGAUUAACAUCUGCUCUCUCUAUCUCCUAAAGUUAAUCUGAGAUGCGAAUGAAAUCACAUAUAUGAGAAUACUCACAUAAAUGUUAUUUUAAUUUGCUUUAUGUGUGUGUGUUUUGCCUUCUAAACAAUGUUUCUUCCAGGUAAGGAUAUGUAUGCUUGGGAUGUGUACCUACCAAAAUGCCUGGCACAAGGUGUUUGUGAAAUAUUUGUUGAAUGUUUGUUAAAUGGAUGUUGAAUCUGAAUGAAACUGAAACAAUUUUGAAAAACUAUAGUUUGGAAGAGGUAACAAUAAAAUAUAUCAAAAUGUGAAUUUCUCUUUCAUUGUUGCCAUCCUCUUAAUGUUUUGCUAUUUCACUUUCAUUAUUACAUUCUACAAUGACUGUCCUCAAAAGGCCAC
rnacentral:lncRNA from 1 species